GAUGAACGCUGGCGGCGUGCCUAAUACAUGCAAGUCGAGCGAAUGGAUUAAGAGCUUGCUCUUAUGAAGUUAGCGGCGGACGGGUGAGUAACACGUGGGUAACCUGCCCAUAAGACUGGGAUAACUCCGGGAAACCGGGGCUAAUACCGGAUAACAUUUUGAACCGCAUGGUUCGAAAUUGAAAGGCGGCUUCGGCUGUCACUUAUGGAUGGACCCGCGUCGCAUUAGCUAGUUGGUGAGGUAACGGCUCACCAAGGCAACGAUGCGUAGCCGACAGGAGAGGGUGAUCGGCCAAACUGGGAAUGAGACACGGGCCAGACUCCUACGGGAGGCAGCAGUAGGGAAUCUUCCGCAAUGGACGAAAGUCUGACGGAGCAACGCCGCGUGAGUGAUGAAGGCUUUCGGGUCGUAAAACUCUGUCGUUAGGGUAGAACAAGUGCUAGUUGAAUAAGCUGGCACCUUGACGGUACCUAACCAGAAAGCCACGGCUAACUACGUGCCAGCCGCCGCGGUAA
rnacentral:rRNA from 1 species